rnacentral:rRNA from 2 species
UUAUACCGUGAAACUGCGAAUGGCUCAUUAAAUCAGUUAUCGUUUAUUUGAUAGUACCUUACUACUUGGAUAACCGUGGUAAUUCUAGAGCUAAUACAUGCUGAAAACCCCAACUUCGGGAGGGGUGUAUUUAUUAGAUAAAAAACCAACGCCCUUCGGGGCUUCUUGGUGAUUCAUGAUAACUUAACGGAUCGCAUGGCCUUGCGCCGGCGACGGUUCAUUCAAAUUUCUGCCCUAUCAACUUUCGAUGGUAAGGUAUUGGCUUACCAUGGUUUCAACGGGUAACGGGGAAUUAGGGUUCGAUUCCGGAGAGGGAGCCUGAGAAACGGCUACCACAUCCAAGGAAGGCAGCAGGCGCGCAAAUUAUCCAAUCCCGACACGGGGAGAUAGUGACAAUAAAUACUGAUACAGGGCUCUUUUGGGUCUUGUAAUUGGAAUGAGUACAAUUUAAACCUCUUAACGAGGAACAAUUGGAGGGCAAGUCUGGUGCCAGCAGCCGCGGUAAUUCCAGCUCCAAUAGCGUAUAUUAAAGUUGUUGCAGUUAAAAAGCUCGUAGUUGAACCUUGGGUCUGGCUGGCAGGUCCGCCUCACCGCGUGUACUUGUCCGGCCGGGCCUUCCUUCUGGAGAACCUCAUGCCCUUCACUGGGCGUGUUGGGGACCAGGACUUUUACUUUGAAAAAAUUAGAGUGUUCAAAGCAGGCCUUUGCUCGAAUACGUUAGCAUGGAAUAAUAAAAUAGGACGUGCGGUCCUAUUUUGUUGGUUUCUAGGACCGCCGUAAUGAUUAAUAGGGACAGUCG